UUUUUCGCGUUUUUCUACUUUUCUGCUCGUGUAAUCGUAUCAGUUCUUUUCAGAACUAUAACAGUUCUUUUUAGAACUCCAAAUUAACUGUCGUAUACCGUGGUACGUGUCGCUUGCUUGAACGUAAACAUUCCACCAUGCCGAAGCCCUUGCACAAAGAUGCAAAGCAAAUGGUCGCUAAUUUAGUGGACUAUUUUGCUAAAGAACGCGAUAGCGGGGGACCUCUUUUACCACUAACAGCUGUUCAAGACAGGGUUGCUGCUGCUCUGGGUGUAUGUGUGCGAACAGUGAACUCCAUGGUACAACAAAUAAAAACCGCAGAAGCUGUACAUUCUCCCAAGAAAUAGAGACCCCCGAACAAAGCAAGUGUGUGAUAUUAGCACUUCGGAGCAGUGUGCUAUUCGAGAAUGCUUAUAUGGAAUGGUCGAAAAAAAAAUACAUGUUACACGAUCGUCAUUACUUGAUUGCUUGAAGGAGAAACAUAUAUUUGAAGUUUCUCUGAGCUCGUUAGGAAGAAUUUUAUAUUCUCUAUUGGGUUUCGUUAUUCUCCAAC